rnacentral:rRNA from 1 species
CUUUACUGUAACUUGAAAUUGAAAUUGGACUUUAGUUGCGCAGGAUAGGUGGGAGGCGUUGAGAAUAUUCUUGCGGGAGUAUUGGAGCCAUCAGUGAGAUACCACUCUUCUAAUGUUAGAUUUCUAACUUUGUAUCAUUAUCUGGUCAAAGAACAGUUUCAGGCGGGCAGUUUGACUGGGGCGGUCGCCUCCUAAAGGGUAACGGAGGCGCACAAAGGUUUCCUCUGAACGAGUAGAAAUCGUAUCUAGAGUGUAAAGGCAUAAGGAAGCUUGACUGUGAGACCUACAAGUCGAGCAGGGACGAAAGUCGGUCUUAGUGAUCUGACGGUGCUGAGUGGAAAGGCCGUCACUCAACGGAUAAAAGUUA